CAGUCGCCACGGGAAUACAGAGGGUGCAAGCGUUAAUAGGAAUUACUGGGCGUAAAGCGCGCGUAGGUGGUUUGUUAAGUUGGAUGUGAAAGCCCCGGGCUCAACCUGGGAACUGCAUCCAAAACUGGCAAGCUAGAGUACGGUAGAGGGUGGUGGAAUUUCCUGUGUAGCGGUGAAAUGCGUAGAUAUAGGAAGGAACACCAGUGGCGAAGGCGACCACCUGGACUGAUACUGACACUGAGGUGCGAAAGCGUGGGGAGCAAACAGGAUUAGAUACCCGCGUAGUCCCUGUCUCUUAUAC
rnacentral:rRNA from 1 species